rnacentral:pre_miRNA from 13 species
GGUAUUGUUAGAUUAAUUUUGUGGGACAUUAACACUAGCAUCAGUAGCAAUAUUCACUUGACAUAGUGAAUCCUGCUGAGUUAAGUGACUUUAUUU